rnacentral:lncRNA from 1 species
AUGGUUAGGAAUGCUCUCAGUAAUCUCACACUCAGGAAUGCACUUCACAGUGUGCACAUGCAGGGCAGGCCUCAGGACACAGUCACCCCUACAGGCUGUGAGGGCGUGGCCCAUCUUCAGCUGGUGACAGCACCUUUGAGGACAGGAGCAGCUCGAGGCGCUGGAGCUGGAUGUUUGAGCCGCUUUCACGUCAUCACUUCUUCUCCAGACCCGGAUCUUCUGUAUCAGGGCUGGAUCUCAGUCAGCUCAGUCAGCUCAGCACUCACACAAACUGACAUUUGCCCACUUUCAGGUCUUUCUUUGUGCUGUGAGCUGCAUUGUGCUGCAUCACUGGUGAGACCACGUGCUCUGUGUUUAUCACCAGGAAGGGGAGGGAGGCAGCGCCAGAUUUCUCGUUUUGUCCAUUGCCACCACAGACACACACACACUCUCAUCCAGGCAGCCACAGGGAGGAGGCAAACCAGGCUGAGCCGCGCCGUGUCAAACUCUGAACAACACAACAGGUUACUGUCCAGGAUGGCUGGAAAGGAGCAGCAGAUCACGGAGGAGAAGCCGCUGCUGCCUGAAAAGACAGGCGUGGACUCAGAGACGCAGGAUAAAGGAGAGGAGGCAUCAGGGGGCCCCCCCUGCCCUGCCAGCACCGAGCCCCCUAACGAACCCCCUCCCCCCCGCCGCCCCACUCACCGCUGGCAUGCCAUCGCGCGGCACUGGCUCCGCCAGACCCGCCGUCGGACCAGUGGGGUUAUCCCGGUAACUACCAGAGCAAGCAGAAACAGACACACCCAACAAAUGUGACGGUUAGAAUCCAAUGACCACAUCAGAAACCACAUUAUUUAUUUAAAAAAUCAUUUUUGAAAAUUACUUUUUAUUCAGAACCCUUUUCUUAUUCAUUUAUGAUUAUUCCCUCAAAAACAUAAAAAACAUCUGAUCUACAAGUUUAUGUGAAUAUUUUGAAAUAUAUACUUGAUUUAUUUAGCUUUUUUUCAAUAGGUAAUUUUCAUAAAACCCUCACUGGAUCAAAGAUAAACACAAAUGCAAAAUGUAACAUUCCAACAUGAACAAAUUUAUACAUUAAUUUAAGGAAUUAGAACAAAACACACACACAUACUGAAAACACACAGAAAACACAAAGACCCACAUUCAUGGAAACAAAGCACAGACACACAAAUUAAACACACACAGACACAAAAAACACAGCCACCCAUCUUUGGACCAAGAAAAAGGUCAACCCUAGAUGGGGAGGUUCCAUGCAAAGAUUGGGGAAUAGUGCCACCUGCUGGUGAAACCAAAGCACUGCCAUCAGUGACACAGCUCCCCCUGCUGACCUUUUGUUGCACACUUCACAGGAUGUCCCGCCCCCUAACGGUGGGAGUUCAGAACAGACUCAGCCAUCCUCAGACCCUGUUUCUGUGCUGUGUCUUUCAUCCAUCCAUCUGUUCUACGUUCCAUUCUGUGUGUUUAUUUUUCGUUUAAUAUCAGAGUUUCUCUUCAGAACUGAGUGUUGUUCAUGUGUGACAGGAUGUAACACCAUCUGUCUUCCUACUGUCGUUUUCUGCUCCGGCCUCAGAAAGGCAACCAGUUCAGACAAUUCUCAGAAGUGCAUUUUAAAAUAGUUUUUAAAACAUGUUGUUUUGAAUGCAUCAUUUUAUUUCACAUCCGUGUUUUUGUGGACACUAAGAAUCCUGUUUCAUUGCAGUGGCUCUUAUUUUGAAGGACAGGUUUGCAUCUUUCCGAUUAAGCUAAAAUAUUCCUAUAGUAAAGAAAAAAAUCAUUGAAUCUCAGAUCUGGCAGGAUGCCCUUUUAAAAGUAUUAAGUAUGAGACAAAUAAAGUGAAAAUUCUGUCAUUAUAAAUGUGAUUUUGUGUCAAUAUCUGCUUUUUCUUUCUUUCUUUGUGUUGAUUUUCACUCCAGCUUUUGCGUUUGUCAAUCAACGUCUAAGAGUUGCAAAACUACCAAUAACGUUAUGGUUUUAAGGAUGAUGUAAACUAAAUAAUUAGGGGCAAAAGUAACGGGUUUCAUUUCCAUAUAUAGCUUGGCUUAAAGGAUAUGAUCAGGGAAAAGGAGUUGAACCCCCCAUCUAAUAGCUGAAGAAAGGCUGAACACGAAUGUCGAGGACGCG